GGCGCCGCUGUCGGCCGCGGUCGCGGGGCCGGGGCUGGGGCCGGCGUCUGUCCGCGCCGGGCCCCGCAGUAAGGCGGCGACCGCGGGAGCGGCGUACGGAAGCCCGGCGAGCCGUGGGAGAGGCUGAAGUUCUAACCAUCUUCCCAUGGCAUCUGACGUUUUUGAGGAGGAGCAUGCACCCAAGAGCAGAAGCAGCAAUGUCCUCGAUGAGGAAAAUGAAUCCAGCAGUCCAUCCUAUCCUGUACCCACCUGAGUACAGGAAGAGACCUCAUACAAAGCCAGAACGCAUCUGGGCUUGCAGCUCUUUUUAACCAUAUUAAGUCCUAUUUAGAGUUAAUGAUGAGCUCAGUGAGACUGGUCUAAGCAAUGCUGAAGAAGGGAAGAACAGAGUUGGAAGGCAGGAGCUAUUUCAAAGCAGGAUUCUUCUUUCCAUAACACCCAAACAUGAAGACUUUAUAAACUUCAUUAGAUCCUGCCAUCAAUGACUGAGCCUCCCUGAAAUCUUCUUAUCAGUUACUGCCGAGAUGAGAAGGAUAACAGGAAGGAGGAGUGCUUAAGUGGUUUUAAUGACAGUUAAUUUCAUCUAUUUAUCAAAUGACAGGUUGUUUUUUCCUCAAAACUCGAUUGUCAUGACGAGAUGCUUUUGGAAGUCAUCUUUGUAAAAUAAAACUGACAAUUUUUAGGCUACAAAGAGCUAUUGUAUCUUUCUACACAAUGUUGUCAUUAUGGUAAACCGCUGGAAAGUCUUUAUUUUUGAACUAAUUUAGCUUGCAUACUUCAUUCAUUUAUUUGAAUGUCUGUUGAAUGCCAUGUGAAAAGUUUCUUGCCAGACUUCUUUUAUUCAAUGGAAUAGUUAUUCUUACAAUGCUCAAUUUAUUAUUGUCUAAAUUACUGUUGCCUUAGCCUCCUGCAAAAAUGUUUCUUUUUAGUAAUUCUUAAACAAAUAAGGAAUGAAUGAGGUUUUGUCCCCUUCAUGUUUUGAUCGGCGUAUUUUUCCUUUCAGUGAAAGCGUCUUCAGUUUUCAGAAUGACACUAUUACAAAGAAAGGUGCUUUGCUUUUUUUUUUUUUUCCUUUCUCCAACAGACACUGUCUUUUGUGCAAUGAUUUUUUUAAUAUGUACACUGCCAAGAUGUAAUUACUGGAAGGAGAAACAGAAGCUGUUGGGAAUGUCAUGUUAUGCCAAAUUAAGAAUUAUUAGCUCUUACUUUCUCUGCGAUCUCUUCGACUAGAACUCGACCUAUUGCGUCUGCUUAUACUUUGACUCUAGUGGAACUAAUGUGUCCUUGGAGUAGCAUUUUAGAGUAACUUCAGAUUCAUGGUUUUUUCACAAGUCUGCUUUAAACUGCUGGGAUUAACUUCAGAGAAGGCAAGAGAUACAGCCUCCUUUGUCAGCAGCUGUGUUAGUUAAAGAAGGAGGCUUCAUGCAUGCUUGCUUGCUCACUCUCUCCUGGAGGUUAUUGCCCCUCCUAGGGAAGCAAACUGAACUGCUUCCCUGAGCACACCCAGACUUAUUUCAGCCAAAGUUCAUCGUAUUAUCAAAUAGUUAACUAGCACCUUGGGUCAUUUUGAUGAAAGGGCAGGGAAUGCACAGACCAGCUGUGCAGACAGCGUAUCUGGGAAGGGUGGUGUGUUGACAAGUGGGUUGUUGAGGAGUUGUUGUUGGUGUAGUCUUUUCAGCAGGUGCAGUUAUAUCUCUAAGAUGUGGUAAAAAUUGGACGUGUUAGAAGGCUGUGCAGUUCUGUCAUGUAUAAUAUUCACAUUUCGGGGACAUACUGGACAAUAUAAAAUAAACCUAUGCGCUUUGACUUACUCCUUGUGCGUGACAGUGUGAGUGGAGAGAGAUGGUGUGAGUGUGUGUACAUGACAGGACACCUAUUUCAGGAGAGUGUGUCUGGUAAAGGUGUGUGAAUGGUACAAAUGUUUCCAUUAUCUGGAGAUCACACUGUUGUGCUUUACUCAUCCAAGAAGCUGCCUAAACCAACACAUGGUUCAGGAGAACUGUUUUUGACACAUGGUGCCCUGAACUGCCUUUAGUGAAGAGGGGAGAACACCUCCAGCAGGAGAGGCCACCCCAUCCACUGCUGCUUCUCUGUCUGAUAUUGCAUCAGUAGAUGCUGGAGUCUGGUGAGGCAUCCAAGCUCUUGAUGUUCCCCAUGCCAAAAUUAGAAUGGUACUGGUGAUCUAUAGUACUGGAAGGCAUACUGAGUAAAAACAGUGCACUAAACUGCUCCUUCAACACUGACCCUUCUUGCGAGAAGGCGGUGGGGUGUAGGUGCUGUCCCACAGAUGGCUUGGGCAUACAAAGAACAAGAGGCUUUCUGAUCUGUCAGAAACCUGAGAGCAGCAACACUGCUUAUGUCUCCUCUUGGGGCACUGCUAGAUGAAAAGAACUUGGUUCAGUCACAGAAAGGACUGAACCUCCAGCUCUGCUGGUGUUGCAACCAAUAUCUUUUAACUGGCCAUAUGCUAAAGAAUGAGGAAGUAUGCACUGGCUUCUCUUAUGUGCCAUAUGUAAGGGAGGAAAAUAAUGUGCUACAUCUGGAAAGGAACUGGUGUGUAAGAAGGUGCUGCUUUGCAGGCAAAGAACCGCCUUGCCUCCCCUGGCUGGUUUAGCCUUAGCAACACUAUCAUAUCACAGUGCCUUCAGGCCGGAGCCCGCAUCUGCUGUUCCCUGAACUGUGGGUCUGAAAAACAGUGACGUGUAGGGAUGAGGCCUGGCAGGUCUUAGGACUCAGGCUUACAAAGAAAUUUGGGAACGUGCACAAACUUAGAAAUUGCUAAUAUUUUAACAUUAUAUGUAAAAAAAAGAAAUAUGAUAUGACAGAGUGUGAAACCUACUGCUUUUCUGCCAAGUUUUGAGUUAACUUGGCUGUGUACUGCUGUAUGUUGAGAAUAUGUUGGACUCUUCAGUCAAACUCUUUUUUACCCUUGUUAGCCUAUACUUGCAGUGUAGCGCUCAGUGCAUGCAUAGUUCAAGGGGGCAAAGCGCCAACCACAUAGUUUCUAAAAUCCCCAGCUUGCCCCCGAUCCAGUCUCUGCAGCUCUGCGGUGAAGGUGGGUGCAGCUCCAGGUGUGAGAGCUGUGCCCUGUGCCGGUACCCUGGGGUCAAGCUACAGCUGAGCUCUCGGCAUCUGUGCCGAGUUCAGAAGUGAUGUACCUCCUCCAAAGGACUGUCCAAUGUCUCCCCAGACCAUGAACUAAGGGGAAACGAGCCUCCACAGCUCUUUGACACAGCCCAUAAUUCAUAAAAUUUUUUUAUCUUAAUAUGGGCUAUUGUAGUACCAAGUUUAAAAUGAAAUGCUCGUGAUUGCCUAAUAAUCUUUUUGCCUGCUUGAGUGGUAAUACGUAGUUAAACCAGUAUUGCAAAAUUACAUAUGUAGAUAUACCUGUCAUGGAUAUGUUAUGUUGAUGAGUAAAAUUUUACGUCCAAGCACUUAAAAUGAUCAAAUACUAUAGUUAAGACUGUCAUACUGUUUAUGUAGCGCUAAAAAGAAAACAAAAUACAAUUUCAGAGCAGACAGAUUUAUUUCUUAUAAAUACUCCAAAUAAUAGGUUGGUUUCAACUAGACUUCCUGGCUCUUCAGUGAUUGCUGCAUUCGGUAUGAAUCUAUCAGGCUCCCACGCAUAAUCAUGUGUUUAUUAUUAUAAACACAUGAUUUCUAUGUAUGUUCUCCGCAAAUAUGUUGGACAAAACAUAGUUUACCUUCUUAACUGGUACUAUAUAGGUUACUUUCUAACUCCUUUAACUUCAGUUCAAACUUGGUUGAAUAAAAUGUGCAUUCCUGAAAAUAAUCUUUACAUCUGUAAUGUGACAGAUGAUUUUAUAUGACUGUCUUCAUACUCCAGACAAAGCAAAACAUUUUCAAGGCAAUAUGUGUUGACAAUAUACAGAGAUAAAAAUCUGCUAAUGACAAACUCUAAGGUGCAAACUUUUAGUAAAAGCAAUGAAUCAUUAGAAAUUAUUAGAAAGGGAAUAGUUGAUUUUCUAUCUUUUGAAUUAAGAUGAAAUGUCUUUAUAGAGGUAUAUGCUUGAACAAAUGGCUGGGUGGGGUAGAGGAAUUCCUCACAGGCUUCUGUGGCUUUUGCUACACCUGGGGUCAGACUGGGCCAUCUUAGAUGUCCUUUUGUCUUGGAAGGGAGGAAGGCAUCUCGGUGUAACAAGUAUCUUCAUAGCAUAGCAGCUUCCACUGAAAAGUUACUCAAAGUUACUUACACUUCUCUUUAAAAAAAGAUCUGGGAGGGACAUGGCUCAACAACUAAUUUGGCAAGGUUCCUGUCUCCUCACGCCGUGCUUUUUUCAAAGAUCCUCUUUCACCUGACUGCUUAGCUCUGUAGAGUGUUAUGUUUCAUCGGCUUUAGGUGGGUUUCUUUCGUUCAUCCAUCCUCUCCCCCCCGCCAAAUUAAUCAAACAGCACAUGAACAUUUUUUUCAGAGCAAAUGUCUUCUACAAAGGGUAUACUUCUACAAAGUCUAAUGUUGUCUUGCUGCUAGAAAUAAUUAUUAGGUUUAAAAUAAUCUGACAGCAUCCUGCUGUUUAUAAAUUAGGUUUGUUCUCUAUUAAGAUUAGUUAGCUGGCACCCAUUCACUAGUACAUUACAAAAAAAUGAUUGCAAGUUGAUCGCAUCCGGUUGUCUGCCUUUUUUCUUUUUAAUGGGCUUUUUGUUGCUGUGCUGUCACCAAGGUUGAAAUAAAUGUGUGCAAGUUGUACAUUUCCAAGUUCUCUACAGCCUGGGGAGAUGAUGCUGGUUCUCCUGUACCAUGAAAAGACUUACGGGCAUAAGCAUUUGGGGAAGGGAAGAGGUUGUCUGCACUCAGAUUUCUGAAUCUUGUGUACCUUUGGUUUUGGCCAAGGGGGAUGUUUUCUGCUCUAUGGCAAGCAAUAUGUUACCACUGUGUUUAAAUAGGUGUUGUUAUUUUUUAACUUGUAUGUACUAGCCUGUUUUCAUGCAGAAGUACAUAUUUUACCUGGGAAGAAUGGUGUGUGAAUCUGAAAAAGAAGAAAAAUUAUUUAAAGUUAUGUGCUAGUGUUUAAGAUUUAAAAAAUAACCAUGAGGUCUUUAUUUCUUUGUUUAUGAUUGAUUAGGGUUAGAGUUUUAAAAGCUUAAUGCCAACUGUAAGUGCUUUACAGUCAGUCACUGAGAAUUAUGGGCUUGGCAUGACUCAUGUUUUUGUCCUUCAGUAUAUCCAUUAUUGUUAGAUCCUGAGUAGUCAUUGCACGUAGAUGACUGAUUUUGGGGGGCAUUUUACAUUUUUACAUGUUCAGAACAAUACUUAGUUAAAGCAGCUGCUGGGUGAAUGGGGUAAUUAAAGAACUGUACAGCUUUUAUUGAAGUUGACACAUGCUGCACAUUCCUUAAAACUCAGUAUGUGAGCAGAAUGUUUCCAGGAUUUAUUGAAGUCAGACACCUAGAGAUACUGGGGAGCUUUUAAUAGUAGUAAAGAUAACUUCAAGUUUUACACUGCUAUAUAAAUCUCUUGAGGAAGAGAGCUAUUAUUGUAAUACAUUGCUCGUGUUCUUCAUAUUUUGUCCGUGUGUAUGUUUUAUGUAUGCACACAUACCUCUACACACAAAUGCUUAAGACCUGAGCACUUUUAUUUGACAGUGAUUGUAUAUUCUAUUUAGUAUUUAUUUGGAAAGAAAUAGUGUUUUAAUGCUGACUGAGAAUCUUAAUUUGCUUGAUGCCAAAAGAAGUCUGCAGUUUAUUGAUUAUUUUUUAAAUUUUUUUUUUUUUUUUUGUAACUAAACUGCAAUCCUGCUUAGUUUGAAUUGCAGCUUAGUGUGUGAGUGUCUUGGUGUGGCAAGUAAGGAAUCUUACUUAAUGUAAACUGAGGAUUUGUUUCAUUUUAACUAGUAUGAUGAGUGCAAUGUUCCGCAUGCAUAAUGCUUUGCAAGUUGUGAAAAAAUAGACUUGUAAUUACAACACAUGGUGACCAAACAAGUUAUAAACGAAUGUCCUCAGAAAGUCUAUUGAACAGAUAUAAUUACCAAUAUUGUAAUUUUUAGUGAUAAGAUCUUCUUUUUCUUUUCUUUUCCUUUCUUUUUCCAGUGUAUUGGAACAAUUUUAUGUCUGUUUGAGCAUGUUCAGUUAGUCUGCCUUUCCUGUUAACAGUUCAUGUCUUUAAAGCAUCUUUGAUAUUCCUUUUUUAAAGUUAUAAUUAUGCAUUUCAGGCAGAGCUAACAAACAUGCACGUUUCAAGAUCAGAACAUUUUUUAACCUCACUUUAUGUGUAUUUUGUUUACAUGGCCCGUGGUGUGGAGAACUCUGCUGAGUACGCUCCGCUCCUGUGGGUUUCCAUGAGAGUUGAGCACUCUGAGCUGCACACAGCUUAGCACACCGCGUUAUCAGUGUCCAGCUGUGAAAGAAGGUGAAAAUGAGGUCUGAAGAAUGGAGAGAGGCUUUGUUUUUCAUUGCUGAAGACUCACUGCAUCGUAAGUCUCCUGAUGCUCAUGUACAUAGACCAUCUCUUACCUGCUAAUUAGACCUCUCCAGCGUGCUCUCUAGAAAUGCACUGGAGAAGUUUUUUCAAAAAACCACCAUGCCAUCAUAAAUAAGGAAAUAGUAUGGUAUGUAACUAUUAUACACCACUUGUUUGGCAGACUAUAAUUUAAUAGAACAACAAUGAUCAGACUAGUAUAUCAGUUAAUUUUCAAAACAUUUUAUUCCACACAAAUUAGCUCAGGUCCUGGAGGGCAAAAUGACAAGAGGUUACUCGUAUACUAUGUAUUUAAUUAAUUGAAAAAUGCUCAAAUUGCUUUUACAGUUGUUAUUAAAAAGUAGAAUCAGUGUUGCCAGUGCUCAACCAUAAUUAGAACCCCAGGGAAUUAAAUAUUUAGCAUUAGUAAUGUAACAGCACUUAGGACACAAAUUUCUAUUUUUGUAAUGAAAGCAAUACAGUGUAAGUGCAAAUGGCUGAAACGACAGCUGUGACAAGCAAACCAGCCUGGGAUAUUUCAAUAAGACACCUCGUCGGACAGCAAGUCUUACCGCAUUACUCGUUUGUAAGAGAUCUGUGAGUUUAAAUCCCAAUAGCCAGGCAUUACACCCAGUAUUUAGAUUUCUAAUUGCUCACAGGAUGAACGGUCAGGCAAAUGUCACGCCGUCAGUGGGGGAAGUGUGCAGUGUUUUCCCAAAUAACGCAGCGGAGGUGCAUGCCUUU